UACGAAGGGUGCAAGCGUUACUCGGAAUUACUGGGCGUAAAGCGUGCGUAGGUGGUGAGUUAAGUCUGUCGUGAAAGCCCCGGGCUCAACCUGGGAAUGGCGAUGGAUACUGGCUCGCUAGAGUGCGGUAGAGGAGAGUGGAAUUCCCGGUGUAGCAGUGAAAUGCGUAGAGAUCGGAAAGAACACCAACGGCGAAAGCACUCUGCUGGGCCGACACUGACACUGAGAGACGAAAGCUAGGGGAGCGAAUGGG
rnacentral:rRNA from 1 species